GCCUAGUUAACUUGGUUGGUAGAGCAUCUGCCUUGUAGGCGCUAGACUGCGGGUUCUAUUCCCGCCCUGGGCA
rfam:Asian citrus Psyllid, Diaphorina citri - Florida Strain, whole genome shotgun sequence.